ensembl:lncRNA
CAGACAGAUCUGGAGGGCAGAAGGAGUCAGGGUCACCAGCAUUUCAUCAGGCAGUAGGAGUAACAAGUAUAGGUCGAAAAAGAGAGAGACAGAGAGAGACAGAGACAGAGAAGAAAAGUGCUAGCUGUCAAGUGGCAAAGACGGCUACAGUUGCAAGCAAUGCUUUUAUUAAAGUUGCCAAAUGACAAACAAAUCCGAGGAACACUUCUCUUGAACUUGGACAAGGACAAACGACAUGAUCGAGAACUUGGUGUCUUGGUGGAAGAGUGGAGGAACAUCUCACAGCAAGAACUGACAAAUCUGGUGCAGUCCAUGAGGAUGAGAUGCACCGUAGUACUUAAAGCAGCUGCU